AACGAACGCUGGCGGCAGGCCUAACACAUGCAAGUCGAGCGCACCCUUCGGGGUGAGCGGCGGACGGGUGAGUAACGCGUGGGAACGUGCCCUUCUCUGCGGAAGAUCCUCGGGAAACUGAGAGUAAUACCGCAUACGCCCUUUGGGGAAAGAUUUAUCGGAGAAGGAUCGGCCCGCGUUGUAUUAGGUAGUUGGUGGGGUAAUGGCCCACCAAGCCGACGAUCCAUAGCUGGUUUGAGAGGAUGAUCAGCCGCACUGGGACUGAGACACGGCCCAGACUCCUACGGGAGGCAGCAGUGGGGAAUCUUAGACAAUGGGGGCAACCCUGAUCGAGCCAUGCCGCGUGAGUGAUGAAGGCCUUAGGGUUGUAAAGCUCUUUCAGCUGGGAAGAUAAUGACGGUACCAGCAGAAGAAGCCCCGGCUAACUCCGUG
rnacentral:rRNA from 1 species